GGAGGAUCCAAGCGUUAUCCGGAUUCAUUGGGUUUAAAGGGUGCGUAGGCGGAAUGAUAAGUCAGUGGUGAAAUCCUGCAGCUUAACUGCAGAACUGCCAUUGAUACUGUCAAUCUUGAGUACAUUUGAUGUGGGCGGAAUGUGUCAUGUAGCGGUGAAAUGCUUAGAUAUGACACAGAACACCGAUUGCGAAGGCAGCUCACAAAACUGUAACUGACGCUGAGGCACGAAAGCGUGGGUAUCAAACAGGAUUAGAUACCCUGGUAGUCCACGCUGUAAACUAUGAUUACUCGAUGUUUGCGAUACACUGUAAGCGUCUAAGCGAAAGCGAUAAGUAAUCCACCUGGGGAGUACGCUCGCAAGAGUG
rnacentral:rRNA from 1 species